AACGAACGCUGGCGGCAGGCUUAACACAUGCAAGUCGAGCGCCCCGCAAGGGGAGUGGCAGACGGGUGAGUAACGCGUGGGAACGUACCUUUUGGUUCGGAACAACUCCGGGAAACUGGAGCUAAUACCGGAUAAGCCCUAACGGGGAAAGAUUUAUCGCCGAAAGAUCGGCCCGCGUCUGAUUAGCUAGUUGGUGAGGUAACGGCUCACCAAGGCGACGAUCAGUAGCUGGUCUGAGAGGAUGAUCAGCCACACUGGGACUGAGACACGGCCCAGACUCCUACGGGAGGCAGCAGUGGGGAAUAUUGGACAAUGGGCGCAAGCCUGAUCCAGCCAUGCCGCGUGAGUGAUGAAGGCCUUAGGGUUGUAAAGCUCUUUUGUCCGGGAAGAUAAUGACUGUACCGGAAGAAUAAGCCCCGGCUAACUUCGUG
rnacentral:rRNA from 1 species